UCUUCCGUAGUAUAGUGGUCAGUAUGUGAGCUUGUCAAUCCCCUUGUUGGGAAUGUCAUCGCUCGAGACCCGGGUUCGAUUCCCGGCGAGAGGG